AUUAGUUCUGGUGUAUCUUGC
rnacentral:siRNA from 1 species